UGGGGAAUUGUUCGCAAUGGGCGCAAGCCUGACGACGCAACGCCGCGUGGAGGACGAAGAUCUUCGGGUCGUAAACUCCUGUCGAGCGGGACGAACGCUUCGCGGAUGAACGAUCCGCGGAAUUGACGGUACCGCUAAAGGAAGCCCCGGCUAACUCCGUGCCAGCAGCCGCGGUAAUACGGGGGGGGCAAGCGUUGUUCGGAAUUACUGGGCGUAAAGGGCUCGUAGGUGGCCAACUAAGUCGGAUGUGAAAUCCCCAGGCUCAACUUGGGAACUGCAGCCGAUACUGGAUGGCUUGAAUCCGGGAGAGGGAUGCAGAAUUCCAGGUGUAGCGGUGAAAUGCGUAGAUAUCUGGAAGAACACCAGUAGCGAAGGCGGUCUCUUGGUCCGUUACUGACGCUCAGGCGCGAAAGCGUGGGGAGCAAACAG
rnacentral:rRNA from 1 species